UAGCCAUGGAAACAAAUCUCUGGGCAUGUCUAAGUGGAAUUAUUUAGGUUACUAGAGAUGGAAAGACCCAGCCUACAUGUGAGGGACACCAUUUCAUGAAUUCAAGUGUCAAACGACAUAGAAAAAGAAAAAGAAAGCUCCUGCUUCCUGACCUGCUUGAGUUCCAGUCCUGACUUCCUUUGGUGAUAAACAGCAAUGUGGAAGUGUAAGCUGAAUAAACCCGUUCCUCCCGGA